GUGGGGAAUAUUGGACAAUGGGCGAAAGCCUGAUCCAGCCAUGCCGCGUGUGUGAAGAAGGUCUUCGGAUUGUAAAGCACUUUAAGUUGGGAGGAAGGGCAGUAAGUUAAUACCUUGCUGUUUUGACGUUACCAACAGAAUAAGCACCGGCUAACUUCGUGCCAGCAGCCGCGGUAAUACGAAGGGUGCAAGCGUUAAUCGGAAUUACUGGGCGUAAAGCGCGCGUAGGUGGUUUUGUAAGUUGGAGGUGAAAUCCCCGGGCUCAACCUGGGAACUGCCUCCAAAACUGCAUGACUAGAGUACGGUAGAGGGUAGUGGAAUUUCCUGUGUAGCGGUGAAAUGCGUAGAUAUAGGAAGGAACACCAGUGGCGAAGGCGACUACCUGGACUGAUACUGACACUGAGGUGCGAAAGCGUGGGGAGCAAACAGGAUUAGAAACCCGGGUAGUCC
rnacentral:rRNA from 1 species